rnacentral:rRNA from 1 species
UACGGAGGGUGCAAGCGUUAUCCGGAAUCACUGGGUUUAAAGGGUGCGUAGGCGGUCUGGUAAGUCAGUCGUGAAAUCGCCGGGCUUAACCCGUGCAACUGCGAUUGAUACUGCCGGACUUGAAUGAGGUUGAGGUAGGCGGAAUGUGGCAUGUAGCGGUGAAAUGCUUAGAUAUGCCAUAGAACACCGAUUGCGAAGGCAGCUUGCUGGACCUUCAUUGACGCUGAGGCACGAAAGCGUGGGGAGCAAACAGG